CUACCAUGCAAGUCGAGCGAAGUAAUCUUGAAAGAAACCUUCGGGAAGAUUUCUUGAUUAUCUUAGCGGCGGACGGGUGAGUAACGCGUGAGAAACCUGCCUUUCACAAAAGGAUAGCCUCGGGAAACUGGGAUUAAUACCUUAUGACACUGAUAUACCACAUGGUAAAUAAGUUAAAGCGUAAAGCGGUGAAAGAUGGUCUCGCGUCCCAUUAGUUAGUUGGUGAGGUAACGGCUCACCAAGACCGCGAUGGGUAGCCGGCCUGAGAGGGUGAACGGCCACACUGGAACUGAGACACGGUCCAGACUCCUACGGGAGGCAGCAGUGGGGAAUAUUGCACAAUGGAGGAAACUCUGAUGCAGCGACGCCGCGUGAACGAUGAAGGUCUUCGGAUCGUAAAGUUCUGUCCUAGGGGACGAUAAUGACGGUACCCUAGGAGGAAGCCCCGGCUAACUACGUGCCAGCAGCCGCGGUAAUACGUGGGGGGCGAGCGUUGUCCGGAAUUAUUGGGCGUAAAGGGUUCGCAGGCGGUCUUUUAAGUCAGGUGUGAAAGGUCACGGCUCAACCGUGGUAAGCAUUUGAAACUGAAAGACUUGAGUUAAGGAGAGGAAAGUGGAAUUCCUAGUGUAGCGGUGAAAUGCGUAGAUAUUAGGAGGAAUACCAGUGGCGAAGGCGACUUUCUGGACUUAUACUGACGCUGAGGAACGAAAGCGUGGGGAGCAAACAGGAUUAGAUACC
rnacentral:rRNA from 1 species